rnacentral:tRNA from 1 species
CAGAAAAUAGCUCAAUUGGUAGAGCACUCGUUUUGGGAACGAGAGGCUAUAGGUUCAAGUCCUAUUUUUCUGA